CGCCAGAAUUCAAAUGUCCCGAUGGUUCUGCCAUCCCAUCUCACCUCGCCGGCACGCGGUAUGCCCGCCGCUCACGGCCACGUAUCCUCCCGCCCGCGCGGCACCGCGCAUCGCGAUCCCCUCCCGCCUCACCACCUCGCCGACCUCGCCGCGGCCCGGCUCGAGUCCUGCGCCGACGCGCGCCUCCCUCCGCGGAUCCAUGCACAUCUCCUGCGCCGCGGCCUCCUCCUGCUGCCAUUCCACUGGAACGCCCUCACCCGCGCCUACCUCCGCCUCGGCUCGCCCCGCGCCGCGCUCCGCGCCGCCGCGUGCAUGAUGGCCCACGGCGCCGCGCCCGACCGCUACACGUUCCCGCUAGCCCUCAAGGCCGCGGCCCAGGCCGAGCGCCCCGGGUCCAGCCUGCGCCUGCAGCUUCACGCCGCCGCCGUCAUGCGCGGCCUCGCGCGCCACCCCUUCACCGAGAGCGCGCUCAUCAGCGGCUACGCGAAGGCUGGCGACCUGGGCGCCGCCCGCAGGAUGUUCGACGAAAACCCGCACCGGGAACUCGGGUCGUGGAACGCCAUCAUAAGCGGCAUCUCGCAGGAAGGUAGGUACAAGGAGGCGCUGGCGUUGUUUCACGAGCUGCGGAGGGGCGGCAUGGUACCGGAUGAUCUGACCAUGGUGAGCGUUGCGUCCACGUGCUGUGCGCUUGGCGAUAUUGGCUUGGUGGGGCAGCUGCACAAGUGCAUCUUACAAUGCCAGCGCUCCGGCCGGCUCGAUGUGACGCUGUCCAACACGUUGGUUGAUAUGUAUGCUAAGUGUGGUCGCACGGACCUCGCAAGAAGGGUGUUUGAUAGAAUGACUGUCAGGGAUGUGUCCUCAUGGACAACCAUGAUUACUGGGCUUGCAACGCAUGGUGAGGUGCAAGGCGCAUUGGACAUGUUUGAUGAUAUGCUGAGAGAAGCAGUACCACCAAAUAGGGUGACGAUGUUGGCAGUCCUUUCUGCUUGCGCUCAUGGAGGGCUGGUGGAUAGAGGGCUGGGCUUGCUGAAGCAAAUGGAAGAUGGGGAGGUCAAGGUAGUGCCAACAGUCGAACACUACGGGUGUGUGGUUGAUAUGCUUGGUAGAGUUGGCCGUGUGGAUGAGGCGCGUGCUUUGGUGGAGCAGAGGAUGCCAAUGGAGCCAAAUGUGGUGAUAUGGGGAACAUUGCUUGGUGCAGCCGAGAAGCAAGGGAAUGUGAGUGUUGGGGAGUGGGCAGCAGAAAGGCUAGUGGAGGCUGAACCAUGGAAUGACGGGGUUUAUGUGGUGUUGUCCAAUAUUUAUGCUGCUGCUGGUAUGUGGGGUGAGGUCGAGAGGGUGAGGAAGAUUAUGUCAGAGAGGAAAGUCAUGAAGUCUCCUGGCUGCAGCCUGUAGUUCACGAAGUGAUCAGAAUUGAAGAUAUGGAUGGGAUGGGACGGUACACAAAAACUUUCAUGGUCUAAAUAAGUGGAAUUUGAUGGCAUAAUCUUGCGGUAUGCAAGCUAAAGUAGCCUAGACAAAACCAGAAACACCAAACCACAACCAGGAGCAGCACUGAUGGGUUCCAU